rnacentral:rRNA from 1 species
UACGUAGGGGGCAAGCGUUGUUCGGAUUUACUGGGCGUAAAGGGCGCGUAGGCGGCGUGGUAAGUCAGCUGUGAAAUCUCCGAGCUUAACUCGGAACGGUCAGCUGAUACUGCUGUGCUAGAGUGCAGAAAGGGCAAUCGGAAUUCUUGGUGUAGCGGUGAAAUGCGUAGAUAUCAAGAGGAACACCUGAGGCGAAGGCGGGUUGCUAGGCUGACACUGACGCUGACAGCGCGAAAGCUAGGGUAGCAAACGGG